UUUCAAAUGUUUAUUUCUUUUAAUUUUGAUGAUUAUAACUGACAACUAAGGAAAAUCCCAAAUUCGGUAUCUCAGAAAAUUAGAAUAUUGUGAAAAGGUUCAAUAUUGAAGACACCUGGUGCCACACUCUAAUCAGCUAAUUAACUCAAAACACCUGCAAAGGCCUUUAAAUGGUCUCUCAGUCUAGUUCUGUAGGCUACACAAUCAUGGGGAAGACUGCUGACUUGACAGUUGUCCAAAAGACGACCAUUGACACCUUGCACAAGGAGGGCAAGACACAAAAGGUCAUUGCAAAAGAGGCUGGCUGUUCACAGAGCUCUGUGUCCAAGCAAUAGGGAUAACCGCACCCUGGAGAGGAUUGUGAAACAAAACCCAUUCAAAAAUGUGGGGGAGAUUCACAAAGAGUGGACUGCAGCUGGAGUCAGUGCUUCAAGAACCACUACGCACAGACGUAUGCAAGACAUGGGUUUCAGCUGUCGCAUUCCUUGUGUCAAGCCACUCUUGAACAACAGACAGCGUCAGAAGUG